rnacentral:rRNA from 1 species
UACGAAGGGUGCAAGCGUUAAUCGGAAUUACUGGGCGUAAAGCGUGCGUAGGCGGUUUCUUAAGUCUGCUGUGAAAUCCCCGGGCUCAACCUGGGAAUGGCAGUGGAUACUGGGAGGCUAGAGUGUGUCAGAGGAUGGUGGAAUUCCCGGUGUAGCGGUGAAAUGCGUAGAGAUCGGGAGGAACAUCAGUGGCGAAGGCGGUCAUCUGGGACAACACUGACGCUGAGGCACGAAAGCGUGGGGAGCAAACAGG